rnacentral:rRNA from 1 species
UUUUGGAUUAAUACCUCAUAGUAUAGCAGUUUCGCAUGAAACCACUNUUAAAGUUCCAACGGUGAAAGAUGAGCAUGCGUCCCAUUAGCUAGAUGGUAAGGUAACGGCUUACCAUGGCUACGAUGGGUAGGGGUCCUGAGAGGGAGAUCCCCCACACUGGUACUGAGACACGGACCAGACUCCUACGGGAGGCAGCAGUGAGGAAUAUUGGUCAAUGGACGCAAGUCUUGAACCAGCCAUGCCGCGUGCAGGAUGACGGUCCUAUGGAUUGUAAACUGCUUUUGUACGAGAAGAAACAACAUUACGUGUAAUGUCUUGACGGUAUCGUAAGAAUAAGGAUCGGCUAACUCCGUG